rnacentral:rRNA from 1 species
GGAUGAACGCUGGCGGCGUGCCUAAUACAUGCAAGUCGAGCGAACAGACGAGGAGCUUGCUCCUCUGACGUUAGCGGCGGACGGGUGAGUAACACGUGGAUAACCUACCUAUAAGACUGGGAUAACUUCGGGAAACCGGAGCUAAUACCGGAUAAUAUAUUGAACCGCAUGGUUCAAUAGUGAAAGACGGUUUUGCUGUCACUUAUAGAUGGAUCCGCGCCGCAUUAGCUAGUUGGUAAGGUAACGGCUUACCAAGGCAACGAUGCGUAGCCGACCUGAGAGGGUGAUCGGCCACACUGGAACUGAGACACGGUCCAGACUCCUACGGGAGGCAGCAGUAGGGAAUCUUCCGCAAUGGGCGAAAGCCUGACGGAGCAACGCCGCGUGAGUGAUGAAGGUCUUCGGAUCGUGAAACUCUGUUAUUAGGGAAGAACAAAUGUGUAAGUAACUAUGCACGUCUUGACGGUACCUAAUCAGAAAGCCACGGCUAACUACGUG